UACGGGGGGGGCAAGCGUUGUUCGGAAUUACUGGGCGUAAAGCGCUCGCAGGUGGUUCGAUGCGUCGUGCGUGAAAGACCCCGGCUCAACUGGGGAGGGUCGUGCGAUACGGUCGAACUGGAGGCCAGUAGGGGGAUGCGGAAUUCCCGGUGUAGUGGUGAAAUGCGUAGAGAUCGGGAGGAACACCCGUAGCGAAGGCGGCCGACUGGACCACACCUGACGCUGAGGCGCGAAGGCCAGGGGAGCGAACGGG
rnacentral:rRNA from 1 species